UACGUAGGGAGCAAGCGUUAUCCGGAAUUAUUGGGUGUAAAGGGUGCGUAGACGGGAAUCUAAGUUAGUUGUGAAAUCCCUCGGCUUAACUGAGGAACUGCAACUAAAACUGGAUUUCUUGAGUGCAGGAGAGGAAAGUGGAAUUCCUAGUGUAGCGGUGAAAUGCGUAGAUAUUAGGAGGAACACCAGUGGCGAAGGCGGCUUUCUGGACUGUAACUGACGUUGAGGCACGAAAGUGUGGGGAGCAAACAGG
rnacentral:rRNA from 1 species